CCCUUAGAUGUUCUGGGCCGCACGCGCGCUACACUGACGAAUGCAACGAGCUUAUAACCUUGGCCGAAAGGUCUGGGUAAUCUCCAAAUUUCGUCGUGAUGGGGAUAGAUUAUUGCAAUUAUUAAUCUUCAACGAGGAAUACCUAGUAAGCGCAAGUCAUCAGCUUGCGUUGUUUACGUCCCUGCCCUUUGUACACACCGCCCGUCGCUCCUACCGAUUGAAUGGUCCGGUGAAUACCAUGGAUUGAGAGUCUGGAUGGGUUCGCCUAUUUCUGCUUCUCGAGAAGUGGAGUAAAUCUUAGCGUUUAGAGGAAGGAGAAGUCGUAACA
rnacentral:rRNA from 1 species